rnacentral:rRNA from 1 species
AGCAGCCGCGGUAAUUCCAGCUCCAAUAGCGUAUAUUAAAGUUGUUGCAGUUAAAAAGCUCGUAGUUGAAUUUCGGGGUUAGCAGGUCGGUCGUGCCAUCGGUAUGAACUGGUCUCGCUGAUCCCUCCCUCUUGACGAACUGUGAUGCCAUUAAUUUGGUGUCGCAGGGAAUCAGGACUGUUACUUUGAAAAAUUAGAGUGUUUAAAGCAGGCUCACGCUUGAAUACAUUAGCAUGGAAUAAUGAAAUAGGACGUUUGAUCCUAUUUUGUUGGCUUCUAGGAUUGACGUAAUGAUUAAUAGGGAUAGUUGGGGCAUUAGUAUUCAAUUGUCAGAGGUGAAAUUCUUGGAUUUAUUGAAG